GUGGGGAAUCUUGCACAAUGGGCGAAAGCCUGACGCAGCCAUGCCGCGUGAAUGAUGAAGGUCUUAGGAUUGUAAAAUUCUUUCACCGGGGACGAUAAUGACGGUACCCGGAGAAGAAGCCCCGGCUAACUUCGUGCCAGCAGCCGCGGUAAUACGAAGGGGGCUAGCGUUGCUCGGAAUUACUGGGCGUAAAGGGCGCGUAGGCGGACAGCUUAGUCAGAGGUGAAAGCCCAGGGCUCAACCUUGGAAUUGCCUUUGAUACUGGCUGUCUUGAGUUUGGGAGAGGUGAGUGGAACUCCGAGUGUAGAGGUGAAAUUCGUAGAUAUUCGGAAGAACACCAGUGGCGAAGGCGACUCACUGGCCCAAUACUGACGCUGAGGCGCGAAAGCGUGGGGAGCAAACAGGAUUAGAAACCCUGGUAGUCC
rnacentral:rRNA from 1 species